UACGGGGGGGGCAAGCGUUGUUCGGAAUUACUGGGCGUAAAGGGCUCGUAGGUGGUCAACUAAGUCAGACGUGAAAUCCCUCGGCUUAACCGGGGAACUGCGUCUGAUACUGGAUGGCUUGAGUUUGGGAGAGGGAUGCGGAAUUCCAGGUGUAGCGGUGAAAUGCGUAGGUAUCUGGAGGAACACCGGUGGCGAAGGCGGCAUCCUGGACCAACACUGACACUGAUGAGCGAAGGCCAGGGGAGCAAACGGG
rnacentral:rRNA from 1 species